rnacentral:lncRNA from 1 species
AAAAUAAAUAAAUACAACACACAAGGUAUAUAAAAUCUAAGAGCCCGAUGACUAGUUGGAAGUAGUGCAAAGUGAGUUCUUUUUAUUAAGUUCCUUUUAGUGAGUUGUAAGCUAAUUAGUGCUUUGAAUUUCACAACACAUCUGACCUGCAUUUUCUAAGGUAUAGGUUCGACAUUGUGUUGAGAGUAUGGUAGCAACCUCGAAUCCUGAUGAACCAUCUUUUUCUGAUCCAAAAAAA